ACGAACGCUGGCGGCGUGCUUAACACAUGCAAGUCGCACGGAAAGGCCCUGCUUUUGUGGGGUGCUCGAGUGGCGAACGGGUGAGUAACACGUGAGUAACCUGCCCUUGACUUUGGGAUAACUUCAUGAAACUGGGGCUAAUACCGGAUAGGAGCUCCUGCUGCAUGGUGGGGGUUGGAAAGUUUCGGCGGUUGGGGAUGGACUCGCGGCUUAUCAGCUUGUUGGUGGGGUAGUGGCUUACCAAGGCUUUGACGGGUAGCCGGCCUGAGAUGGUGACCGGCCACAUUGGGACUGAGAUACGGCCCAGACUCCUACGGGAGGCAGCAGUGGGGAAUAUUGCACAAUGGGCGGAAGCCUGAUGCAGCAACGCCGCGUGCGGGAUGACGGCCUUCGGGUUGUAAACCGCUUUCGCCUGUGACGAAGCGUGAGUGACGGUAAUGGGUAAAGAAGCACCGGCUAACUACGUG
rnacentral:rRNA from 1 species